AUGACUGUACAUCCGCUCUGUGACUGUUGCUGUUUGGCAGCUAUGACAACAACUAACUUUGAAAUUUGUAUGAAUGGCUUCAAGGAAGAAAAAGCUUUCCUCCUCUAAAGUGCACCAGAGGUCUCUGAAAUGUACUGUAUACCUGGACAUUCAGACAGUCACAUGUCCAGGAGUGCUCCUGUCUAAAAAGUAUGACAUUUACCUCAGUGUGUGUAUAAUGGGCCAGUACAGGAAGACCCCCUGUUUGCCAUCUGUGUUCCCCUUACACUUCCACCACAAGAUGGCAUUUGUCAAGACUUUCCCCGGCGUUGUUGACCCUGCUGAUGUAGCUGACCUCCUCGAAGCUGACACAACAUGUUUUGAGCUGAUUCAGUUGGUGCCUCCAGAGGGUGAGAUCCUAGCCACGAUGGAGGAAAGCAGCAGAGAUUUCUUGUACCCUGGUCCGAGACUGAGCUCCAGAGAAGGAGCUGCAGAGAGAGAGAUACUACUGAAGAGAUCCUCCUCCUUUCCUGGAAUCUCCCCCAAAGUGGAGUUUGCCACAACAUCAGUCAUAGAAGAGAGUGAUGGAAGGGACAGCUGGCUUGUCUCACCUACUUGCUGUCUUUCUCCAGUGAGGCUAUCUUUAACACCACCCAGACAGAGUUCAGCAAAAAAGUCUUUGCCAUCCAGCAGCCAUUUUUCCAAAAUAGAUGAUGCGAACUUUGUCUCUUUGAAUGGUGGGGAAGAAAAGUUAAAUGUUGAGGCCGGAUUUACAAACUCUCCGUCUUCAGCAUCCAGACGCUCCCCUUUUUCAUCCCCAUCUGGCCGCAUGCCCCAGAAAAACAAGAAGGAAAGAAAACUGCCUUCUCCGAGAGCUUCUGUAGACUCUGGCUACCAGCAGCCCACAGUUUCCUCAAGGACACGAGCCUUGUCACCUUACACCCACCGCAAGAUGUGCCAGCUUUCAGAGGACGCCCGACAGAGGCUCAGCCACCUCCAGCUGGGGCCUCACCACUUCAGGAAGGAGACUGAGAGCCAGCCGCCCUUCUUGGUCUCUCUUUGCAGCAGUGUGUCUGGGAUGGGAACUCCUUUCUCCUCUCCACAGAAUGGUAGCACGCAUCGACAUGCUGUCAGCUUCGCGACUGAUCACAUAGACAUAACUGGAUUCUUCUCUCCUGGGGAGUUACAGACCAAGAACAGCCAGAGUGAAGUCAGGUUCUGUGAGGGUCCAGUUGUCUCCAGAGCCACAGUCCAGACUUGAAGCCCGGACCAAAAGCCCUGUGAGAGGUGCUGCCCUGACCAUGUUAAACUCCAGAAGUCCUCUGAACCUCAACCAUUCCCUCAGAGAAAGACUACAGACCAGUCAACCCAGUCCAUCCUACUGGGAGCAGAUCCACAGCCGAGUCCAGCGGAUUCUGCAGACACACAAACCCCCCUGGGACCACCAAGUGCCCUUUGACCUGUAACUUACUGAUCUGCCUGCAAAGUGACCAAACAACUAAGGUUACAAUACAGAGACUCUUCAAUGUUAAA